rnacentral:rRNA from 1 species
CACGUAGGGGGCAAGCGUUGUCCGGAUUUAUUGGGCGUAAAGAGCUCGUAGGCGGUUCGGUAAGUCGGGUGUGAAACCUCCAGGCUCAACCUGGAGAUGCCACCUGAUACUGCUGUGACUCGAGUCCGGUAGGGGAGCGUGGAAUUCCUGGUGUAGCGGUGAAAUGCGCAGAUACCAGGAGGAACACCGGUGGCGAAGGCGGGUCUCUGGGCCGUAACUGACGCUGAGGAGCGAAAGCGUGGGGAGCGAACAGG